AAUGGAUUAUGACAAUGACAGGUAUGAUUUGCCCUUUUCUAUUCAUCUUUUGCAUGUGAUUUAUAGGGUCCGUUGGAUUUGUUUCUUUUUGUGGCUUCUGGAUUUCUUCUACUUUGCAGCAGUUAUAUGGGAAAUUUAGUAUGAGGCUGCGUAUUUUGAACAAUUUGACAAUGUAAUUGUUAAAUCUAUUGGUUCAAUGAGGUAUUGCGCAAAAUAUGAUCUCAAAAUUAGUAAUGAUGUUGUGUAUUUAAUGUUGCUAUUUUAAUUGGUGGCUGCUGCUGUUAGAUAUACUUUUACAUGGGAUUAUUGCCUAUUGUUUGCUUAUGGGAUUACUGCUUGUCUUUGCUAUUGAAUUUGGAGUUGCUGCUUUCUUUUUCUUUCCUUUUUUUUCUUUUUUUUUUUUGGUAUUGAACAUUUGGAAUUAUGUUGGUUUUAGUUUUAAAUUCUAAUUUAAUUUCUCACCAUGUAUUUGACAGUUAUCAUGUGCUUGAAUAAAAUUCACAUCGGAAGGUUUGAAGAAUAUUGGAUGUUUUACUUUUAACCUAUCAUCUACAAUAGAUUUGAGUGAUGACGGUGAUUUGUUUGGCAUUGGAGGGUGCCUUCAUUUUAAAUCACCGGAUUGGUUGAUACAUUCAUUUACUAUCCUCAUAAUGGCUACACUUUAUGGUGAAAGACACCACCCUCUCUCUAUAUUUGAUGUGCCUGUUUAGAAUUUAUUUAGUACUAUUGGAUUAAUAUUUUAUUUUAUUUGGUAGAUUGCGAUGCAAAAAUGAUAUCGUACUGCAAAUAGAGAAGCAUGACUUUGUUUGUAACCAUCAUGGUAACUGUGAGGAUAGUAGUCAUAGGUCUUUGAUGGUCGCUGUGGUUCUAGAUAUGAUGGGUAUGUCAAUAGUGAAGUGCCUGUGGUAGUAUGGGAUAUAGUGGUAAUAAUGAUGUGAUGUGUUAUAUUGAAAAUGGCAUCAAUAGAUGUGUCAUGGUGAUCCUAGUAAGGGUAGUUUUGAUAUAGAUUGACAUGCAUGGCUGCUUCAUAACCUCUAUGGUGGUGAUCAACCAUUUUAGGUGCUGGUAGUGGUGUUGGGCCAUCGACGGUUAUGAGGAAAAAAUCAGGGUUAGGCCAUUGAUGGUGGUGGUAAUAGAACUAUUUGUUUCAACUAAAUGCAAAUUUUUGUAUUUUUGUUUUCAAAAAAUUUAGCUCUUAAUUCCAAUGCCAUUUAUUUAUUUAUUUAUUUUGUAUUUUUGUUUCCAAAAAAUGUAUUGUUUUUUUAAAAAGCUAUCCAAAUACUAUACUAAAGGGCCUUUGUGGUCUCAAAAGUAGAUAUAUAAUUUUGAUCAUUUGCAAUUAUGUUCUUGUUUAGACAUUUGCUUGUGCAUUUGUGUAUGUUGUAUAAUUAUGGAGGAUGAAAUUGGCUAGGAAUAUGAUGAAUGCAUUUUCCGAAGGGCUCAUAUUGGUUGACAAAAGUGGACUUAACCUCGAAACUGUUCUUGACGUGUUGGACUUGGGUGCAAUAGCUAAUCCAAUGUUUAAGAUGAAAGGAUCCAUUAUGAACCAAAAGAGCUACUUCCCUGCAUUUCCUCUAAAACAUCAGCAGAAGGACAUGAGGUUGGCUCUUGCCCUCGGUGAUCAAAAUGCAGUAUCAAUGCCAAUGGCAACUGCUGCCAAUGAGGUAAAGCCAUUUGUUUGCUUCUCUGUUACCUUUAUCUGAACAUAAUGCUCAUUGUGAGCAGCAUGUGUUUAGUGGUCUUAACAAUGAGCUGAAUAGACAACCGAAGACAUGUUAUUAUCUAUCCUUAUAGUUUAGCCAAAAAAGUUCAUUGGUAUAGAACCAAUAAACGAGAACCACUCUAGGGUUUCAUAUUUAUCUCUUAAUCAAUAGUCAUUCAAUUAGAGGUAAUUUUCUUCUUUACUUAAUCCCAUAUAUUCCAUAACCAAAUAAGGAAAAUGACGAAAAAACAAGAAAUAAAUAAAAUUAGAAACAAUUCCUAACAAUUCUAAGUUGUCAAUUGGUGCCUCUUGUACCUAAAAUGUGUCUUCAUUCAUAGCUUUUUACUGCCUCUGGAAGCAAAACCUUGUAUAUUGGAGAAGUCCAUCUUACAAUGUCGUGAGAAUAUUCUUUACUACAUUGAAUGGACUGAUACUUGGCUCAGUAUUUUAAGGCAUGGGUUCUAAAAGGGACUCAACUCAGAACUUAUAUGUUGUCUUGGGAGCUUUUUAUCCUUCAUGCUUGUUUGUUGGAGUCAAUAACGCUUCCUCAGUACAACCAAUAGUUUCAAUCGUGAGAGCUAUAUUCUACAGAGAGAGAGAGCAGCUAGAAUGUACUCUCCAUUUCCUUAUGCUGCUGCCUAGGUGGGUAUCUUGAUAUUGAAGCUUUGUUUAAUUUGAUUUAAAACAUGACCCUCAAUAAAAAUAUGUUUAAAUUGUCUGGAUUGGCUGCAUAUAACUAUUGUUGAAAGUGGCAUGUUGAACUACUUAGCCUAAAUAGAAAUGAAAAGAGUAACAGAUAUGAUGGAAUCGCAGAGACCAUUAUGUUUAUUUUCCUCAUUUUUCAGUUGUUUUAUUUUUCAUUUUCCAAUUCUUAUAUGAGAGAUUUCUUCAAGUGAUUGCUAUAUCUAAAAUGAGUGGAAAUCAUUUGUUUUAAAACAUUAUUUUAUACUGAUACUUCGAAACAGAUAAUUUCUAAUGUAGAGUUCUGCAACAGGAAUAUGGUGGUUCAUAGAGAUCUUAAGCCCGAGAACCUGCUUCUAGAUUCCAAGUACAAUAUGAAGAUUGUUGAUUUUGGUAUGAGCAAUAUCAUGCAGGAUGGUCAUUUUCUGAAAACAAGUUGUGGAAGCCCAAAUUAUGCAGCCUCAGAGGUAUGGCGUCUAUGGAAUAUAAUUUAAGACAUUGAAACAAGUCAGUGAGAUUUUUCAAUUGAACGCUAUUUGUAUUUAAGUAACUGUUGAAUUUCCAAGGUUAAUAAAUUCAUCUAUUUUCAUAGGUUAUAUUUAGGAAAUUGUAUGCUGGACUUGAGGUAGAUGUAUGGGGCUGUGGGGUUAUCUUGUAUGCGUUUUUUUAGGCGCCCUCGUCCUUGUAAUAGGAGCAAGUGGAUUUGCUACAGCUGCAUCUGCAGUUGCAACUGCUAUAGGAACUGUUGUCGAUAUGUUUAGAUAAUUUCUUAAUAGUUGUCGAUAUGUUUAGAAAGUUAGAUAUGCAUAGUUUUGGAUGGUUUAAACUUUUUGUAUAGUUUAGAACUUAAGGAUAUAGUUUUCAAAUGUUUGAAAUGUAUAGACAAUUAUUGACUGUUUAUAUUUUAUGGAUAUAGUUUCUUUUUUGAUGUUUCAAA